AAACUGCGAAUGGCUCAUUAAAUCAGUUAUCGUUUAUUUGAUAGGACCUUACUACUUGGAUAACCGUGGUAAUUCUAGAGCUAAUACAUGCUGAAAACCCCGACUUCGGAAGGGGUGUAUUUAUUAGAUAAAAAACCAAUGCCCUCCGGGGCUCCUUGGUGAUUCAUAAUAACUUCUCAGAUCGCAUGGCCUUGCGCCGGCGACGGUUCAUUCAAAUUUCUGCCCUAUCAACUUUCGAUGGUAAGGUAUUGGCUUACCAUGGUUUCAACGGGUAACGGGGAAUUAGGGUUCGAUUCCGGAGAGGGAGCCUGAGAAACGGCUACCACAUCCAAGGAAGGCAGCAGGCGCGCAAAUUACCCAAUCCCGACACGGGGAGGUAGUGACAAUAAAUACUGAUACAGGGCUCUUUUGGGUCUUGUAAUUGGAAUGAGUACAAUUUAAACCUCUUAACGAGGAACAAUUGGAGGGCAAGUCUGGUGCCAGCAGCCGCGGUAAUUCCAGCUCCAAUAGCGUAUAUUAAAGUUGUUGCAGUUAAAAAGCUCGUAGUUGAACCUUUGGCCUGGCUGGCAGGUCCGCCUCACCGCGUGCACUUGUCCGGCCGGGCCUUCUCUUCUGGAGAACCGCAUGCCCUUCACUGGGUGUGUUGGGGACCAGGACUUUUACUUUGAAAAAAUUAGAGUGUUCAAAGCAGGCCUUUGCUCGAAUACGUUAGCAUGGAAUAAUAGAAUAGGACGUGCGGUCCUAUUUUGUUGGUUUCUAGGACCGCCGUAAUGAUUAAUAGGGACAGUCGGGGGCAUCAGUAUUCAAUUGUCAGAGGUGAAAUUCUUGGAUUUAUUGAAGACUAACUACUGCGAAAGCAUUUGCCAAGGAUGUUUUCAUUAAUCAGUGAACGAAAGUUAGGGGAUCGAAGACGAUCAGAUACCGUCGUAGUCUUAACCAUAAACUAUGCCGACUAGGGAUCGGGCGGUGUUAUUAUUUUGACUCGCUCGGCACCUUACGAGCAAAUACAAAGU
rnacentral:rRNA from 1 species